CUUGUGUAAUACACUAUUGCUUGCUUCCUUCUGCAUGCCGUUAACCCCAGACAGCGGGCCGUGAGGCAUUGUCUGCCUGUUGUUUAUAUAACCUGUGAAUAUAAAUGCCGGAUGUUAAUGAAGGAAACAGGAUCUGCUUAGUGAAGGAAGGGAUAUAAAAUGGAUCCCAAAUAUCCGCGUGUGGAGCUAAAUGAUGGUCACUUUAUGCCUGUACUGGGAUUUGGCACCUACGCACCUCCAGAGGUUCCAAGGAAUAGAGCUAUGGAGGUCGUCAAAUUAGCAAUAGAAGCUGGGUUCCGCCAUAUAGAUUCUGCUCAUUUAUACAAUAAUGAGGAGCAAGUUGGACUGGCCAUUAGAAGCAAGAUUGCAGAUGGCAGUGUGAAGAGAGAAGACAUAUUCUACACUUCAAAGCUUUGGUGCACUUUCCUUCGACCAGAGUUGGUCCAAUCAGCCUUGGAAAGCUCGCUGAAAAAACUUCAGUUGGACUAUGUUGACCUUUAUCUUAUUCAUUUCCCAGUGGCUCUCAAGCCAGGUGAGGACCUAAUGCCAAAAGAUGAAAAUGGAAAAGUAAUAUUCGACACAGUGGAUCUCUGUGCCGCAUGGGAGGCCAUGGAGAAGUGUAAGGAGGCAGGAUUGGCCAAGUCCAUCGGGGUGUCCAACUUCAACCGCAGGCAGCUGGAGAUGAUCCUCAACAAGCCAGGGCUCAAGUACAAGCCCGUCUGCAACCAGGUGGAAUGUCAUCCUUAUCUCAACCAGAGCAAACUGCUGGAUUUCUGCAAGUCAAAAGACAUUGUUCUGGUUGCCCAUAGUGCUCUGGGAACCCAAAGACAUGAAAUAUGGGUGGAUCAGAACUCCCCAGUUCUUUUGGAGGACCCAGUUCUUUGUGCCUUGGCAAAAAAGCACAAGCGAUCCCCAGCCCUGAUUGCCCUGCGCUACCAGCUGCAGCGUGGGGUGGUGGUCCUGGCCAAGAGCUACAAUGAGCAGCGGAUCAGAGAGAACGUGCAGGUUUCUGAAUUCCAGCUGUCUUCAGCAGAUAUGAAAGUUCUAGAUGGCUUAAACAGAAAUUUUCGAUAUGUUGCCUUAGAUUAGCUACAUUGUGACAGUCCACAUCUCUUUCAGGAGCCAAUCUUGAAAGCCAUUGCCAAGAAAUGCAGUCGAAGCCCAGAUCAGGUCACCCAGCUCAGCGGCGUUGUUGGUUCUGGCCAAGAGCUUCUCUGAGAAGAGAAUGCAAGAUGACCUUCAGGUAUGGGUCCAGUAAUGUUUCUUCAGAGUGUGCCGUGGGUGCUGUCUUGGUGAUCUCUCUUGCAUGGGAGCAUACACUGUAUUCCAUUCAUUCUCAUGCUUCUCUCCCCUGUGUGCUAGGGAUGGGGGCAGCUUGGAAGGGUGAGAAGAGAGAGCACUGGACUCAGAGUCCUAAGGUUUGUCACCUCUGUGCUUUGCUUUGCCACUUACUAGGUAUGUGACACUAAGCAAAUUUCAACUCUGUUAUUUUAAUCAAUUUUAGGAGUUCUUCUACAUGGUAAUAAAUUUAAGGGCCCUGGGUUCUCCCAUUUACCUUCUCUGCCCAACAAACUCCUAUUUGUAUUUUAAGAUCAAACCCAAAUAAGAUAAGCUGCUUUGUUUAACCACUCAAACCACCCACCAUAUUUUUUCACCAUUAUAAUACAUGGAACAGCUCUGCUUAGUGAGAUUUUUUUUUUCUUAUUAAUUGCCCACUGUUUGCUAAUAUGUCAGUGUGCUCCCUGGAUGGUGAGACCCUAAAUGCAGUGACUCUUUCUGGGUCAUCUUUUAUCACCUUUCCCUUAGCAGAGAGGAAACCAGGUAUAAGUUCAUAGCUUUACCAAAUUAACAUAUACAAUGAGUAAAGUUAUUUCCUAAACCUCUCCCCAUAUACACUCUGGGCCUUAUAUUAAUCACAGGUCUCCAACUAAUUUUGUUUUGAAUCCCACAAGAAUUUUGAAAAACCAUGUAAGCUAUUUUUCAUUUUGAGAUGACAGCUACAAAUUUUAUUGUGAGCAUAUUUACAAAAUAUGACAUUUGAGACAUAUUAUUUGUAAUGUAUUUACUUCAAAACAUUUUAGUUAUAGAUCAAGUAUAUUCAUUUGUGGAAAAAUUCAAUUGGCAAAUCUAAAUCUCAUUGUUAAACCACACAGAUUACAUUUUAUUUUUCAAUUAAACACAUGUUAAUACCUGCUCCCAUGACAACCAUAUAACUUCUGAAGUACAUUAUUUAAAGGAAUAAUGGAUAAACUGGUGGGUGGAUAUAUAGAAAAUAGACAUAUAUAUAGAGAAAAAGAUGAUGAUGAUAGUAGAUGGAAGGAUGGAUGAUAGAUAGAUAGAUAGAUAAUAGGCAGAUUAUCUUAGCCUUUCAUGAAAUUGUCUUCUGGACCACAUAAUGAACUUAGUACUUUUUACCAAAGAUAUCUCUGUUUUGCUAUUAAAGGACUUCCCAUUAGGGGCUGCUCCCAUGACAACCAUAUCACUUCUGAAACACAUUUUAAAAAAGAAUAAUGGAUAAAUUGGUGGGUAGAUAGAUAGAAAAUGAACAGAUAUGUAUAGAGAGAAAUACAGAAAUAGAUGAUGAUAAUGGAUGGAUAGAUAGAUAGAUGAUACAUAGGCAGAUGAUAUGAGUCUUUCAUGAUUGUCUCCUGGAUCACAUAAUAAACUUAGCAUUUUUUUUUUUAACCAAAUGUCUCUCUGUUUUGCUAUGAAAGGACUUCCCAUCAGGGGCUAUGUGUUGACAAGUGAAAACCAACUUAGACUUGAGUAAGAGAAAUUUAUUCAAAGGGUGGAACUCUGAGCAUAACAUCUAUGUAUCUCAAAGAUCGAUCAGAAAGCAUUCUUUAUAAAGGACAAGCAAACAGAGCUGCAAACAGACAGUAUUUAGGGGUUCUGAGGUGAGCAAGUAGAAGAGUUGAUCAGGAAAUGCUUUUUAUGGGGCAGAUUACUGAGUGGGAUUUUCCUGUUGUCCAAGGCUUGUUCAGUGUAAGCCUAUGACUGGAUCGAGUUCCAGGGGCAGUGGGGAAACAAGAGCCUGACCAAGUGUGGUCAAGUCCAGGUGGUAGGUAUUGUGUCCACACUUUCUUUUCUAUUUUAAAACAAGUGAUUUCUUUUUUCUGUCUCAAGCAAUUCUCUAGAAAUAUUUUAGAUUGAUGAGUGUACACUUUCCUUUUGAGAACUGGUGUGGAGUAGAAGAGGGGUGGGAUGGAGAAGAGGCAGCGCUCAGGUGGAAGAGCUUCCAGGCCAGGCGCACCUGGAAACAUGAGGAUGGAAAUGUCUCACUAAUGCCAUCCUUGCCUGUCUCCUGCGAAGUCCUUGGAUUCCCAGGUGGAAGCUGCUGUCCUGGGGAAAGGUUAAUGAGCUGAGCAGGUCUGAGCGAGAUACAGGCACAGAUCUGGAAACAUCUGGUGAGGCCACAUGGGGAGUAUCCACAGCAUGUCCAGUGCUAGAAAUGCCAGGCCUACAUGGAAGGUGCAGACUUGGCAGUGCUGUUGGCUGCUCUGAAAAGUUCCAUGGAGUCAGGAGAGCAGAGGCACAGCUGACCCUGGCCCACUCAUCCUGCCAGAGAACAGAGCUCUGGAGUGAAUCCAGCAGAGAGUUCCAGAAAGCUCCUCUCUCCCCUCUGACUCACACUGGCCUCUGUCCCACUGGUAUGGUGGUCACUCUCAACACCCAUUCUACAUUCCUUCUCUGAAAAUAAAUUAUGUCACCCAUUUACAAAGAAAACUUACCCAACAGAGUUAAAAUAUCGGAGAUUUCUGUCUAGGCUAUCUAUGGCUUUCAUGUCCUCUGGAGUCAACUGGAAUUCAAAAACCUAUCACAAAAACAAAAGACUUUUCUUAUUUUCAGAUUGCAUAAUUGCCAAUCCUGAAUCCCCAAGUAUAAGCAGAGAUAAGACUUAAAAUAUUAAUAAGUUUUCAACAGUUCUAGAAGUCAUCUCUAAACACUCAGGCGGUCAAUGAUUAUCACAUGACAAGUAAGCAAAAAUCCAUUCAUAGGUAUUAUAUAUUGAAACUGCACAACACUGCAGACAAAGUGAAAAUCUCAACAGAAAAAUGAAGAAGAAAAAGACACAGUGCACACGUGGUAGGAUCACAUACUUAGAAGACCCGCAAGAAUCUAGAUGCAAAUUUUAAAAUAAUAUAAAAUCAUAUAGUAAGUUUGAUAGAUACUGUUGAAUUUCUAUAUCUGUUUAAUAAACAGGUAUAAUGCAAAUAACAUUUGUUUUCAACACAAUUCAUGGUGGGAAUUGUCUUAAUACUAACGUUUCAUGUUUAAAGGAAACAGAUACAGCCUUGAAAAGUAUCUCACUCUAAAUUUGAGAGACUUUAAAUAUCAAAGAGAUGCCACUAAUUGUUAACAUGUUGAAUUAAAUAAAUCUAUAAAUUGAAUAAAUCACUCUUCAAUAGUGAUACAGAGAAUGAGAGAGAGAGGGAAAGAGCGAAUAAAAAACAUCAAGUUAACAAUUAAUGAAUCUAGGUAAAAGGUGUUCAUUGCAUUUUUGAAACAUUUCUAUAUAUUAGAAAAUCCACAAAACAAAAAAGGUAAUCAAGAGAUUCUAAGAAUUUUCAGUAUUCUAUGGAUAAAUAUUUAAAAAUACAUACGGUUUAAAGGAGAAUGUUAUACAAUUAAUGAAAUAUAUAUUAAAAGGUCAUUUAAAUAGUUGGAAAUUCAUUAUGGGUUGGAAAUGUCAAUAUUGUCAAAAAGUCAGUUAUCUUCACAUUUAGCAGCAGGUUUAUUAUAAUAUCAACCAAAAACUAAGAUAUGUACUUUUUACUGGAUGUUGAUGAUUCAAAAUUUCAUAUGACAGUCAAGAAUAAUCAAAAUAUUACCAAAUAAAAUGAAGAGUUGGAAUAAUAGAUGUACAAUUUUGGUAGCAAGACCUUUCAUUAUUUAGACAGAAAAGUAAAUAAGUCAAUUGAAGACAAAAGAGAGGCAAGAAUAUAAUUUGUGAAUGUUUCAUUUAUGGCAGAGG